AACAAAUAAAUGUAUGUGUCUAUAGUAUAUAACGGAGUGUAAAUAUAAAUAUGUGACAAAAAAUAAGGGAAAGAAAAUCUCCUGGACUGAAGCAGAGCUCUCCAUGUGAAGGCUGCACCGUCCUCUCACAUUCCAGCGCGUCGCAAAAAAAGGGGAUUUAGGGCGACUUAUUUUCUUAAAACUGUCCUCCCAUCUGCAGAGCCAGCCAGUCUGCUCCCAUCAGCCUGAUACGGGCCUGCACCUAAAUUCACCCACAAUAUUUCCAGGGGAGUUCCCACCGAGAGAUACAGAGCAGCCGAGGAUUUACAGGCACCGGAGCUGUCGUGCAUGCACCCAGAGAUGAGGAGAAAUUAAGGGGUGAAAAAAAGGCAGAUAUACACCGGGUCUGCUGAUGGAGACUUUAACUUAUUCCACUUUACACGCGUUCUGCAAGAAGAUGUGAAGGAAGAAAAAUGUGAAGAUUUCGAUCAGAAGAAGAAGCUGAAUGGAUCAUAAUCCAGGAUUUCUUUUAACACGCAAACUGCAGAGGAAAAGUUUUGCUGUGACUCUGCCUGUCUGGAGGCGAAGAACUGCAACACAUUCAGGAGUUCGCCAACAAACAAACGGAUGCAAUUAAACACACUCGCCUUCAGAUCAUCAAUGAGGAAGCAAAGUCAAGACUGGUGGAAAAACCGACAAGGGCAAAUGUAAGACGGGAGAAGACUGUGCUGCCUCAAGGUUAAACUUGAACUGCGUUAAGAGCCAUACUUCACACAAUGUGGAUAUUUUUUUGCAUCUUCUACAAACACACAUCACUCGCUGUUUUUUUAUAUUAAACAUCCUCAUUUUUACAACCUGAUAUAGCUGCUAAUUGAUGUUAUAUUUUGGUAUCUUUGCUAAAAGAAAAUGUUUCCUCUGUUUCUUCCCUGCCUCCACACUUUCUUUGAAGUUAUUAUAAAAUAAUUUGCAAAUAAAGACUGUCAUUGUCAAACUACCGCCCCGUUCUCUUACUCUCUCCCUCGCUCCACCUUCGCC
rnacentral:lncRNA from 1 species